AAUCAACGCUGGCGGCGUGCCUAACACAUGCAAGUCGAACGAGAAAGUGGAGCAAUCCAUGAGUACAGUGGCGACCGGGUGAGUAACACGUGACUACCUGCCCUUGAGUGGGGGAUAACUUCGGGAAACCGAGGCUAAUACCGCAUAACAUCGCAAGAUCAAAGGAGCAAUCCGCUGAAGGAGGGGGUCGCGGCUGAUUAGCUAGUUGGUGAGGUAACGGCUCACCAAGGCGAAGAUCAGUAGCCGGCCUGAGAGGGCGCACGGCCACACUGGAACUGAAACACGGUCCAGACUCCCACGGGAGGCAGCAGUGGGGAAUUUUGCGCAAUGGGGGAAACCCUGACGCAGCAACGCCGCGUGGAGGAUGAAGUCCCUUGGGAUGUAAACUCCUUUCGAUCGGGACGAUUAUGACGGUACCGGAAGAAGAAGCACCGGCUAACUCUGUGCCAGCAGCCGCCGUAACAC
rnacentral:rRNA from 1 species